UACGUAGGGGGCUAGCGUUGUCCGGAAUCAUUGGGCGUAAAGCGCGUGUAGGCGGUUCGGUAAGUCCGCUGUGAAAGUCGGGGGCUCAACCCUCGAAUGCCGGUGGAUACUGUCGGGCUAGAGUGCGGAAGAGGCGAGUGGAAUUCCUGGUGUAGCGGUGAAAUGCGCAGAUAUCAGGAGGAACACCGGUGGCGAAGGCGGGGUCUCUGGGCCGAUACUGACGCUGGAGGAGCGAA
rnacentral:rRNA from 1 species